AGCGAACGCUGGCGGCAGGCCUAACACAUGCAAGUCGAACGAACCUUUCGGGGUUAGUGGCGGACGGGUGAGUAACACGUGGGAACAUGCCUUUAGGUUCGGAAUAACUCAGGGACACUUGUGCUAAUACCGAAUGUGCCCUUCGGGGGCAAGAUUUAUCGCCUUUAGAGCGGCCCGCGUCUGAUUAGCUAGUUGGUUGAGGUAAUGGCUCACCAAGGCGACGAUCAGUAGCUGGUCUGAGAGGAUGAUCAGCCACAUUGGGACUGAGACACGGCCCAAACUCCUACGGGAGGCAGCAGUGGGGAAUCUUGCGCAAUGGGCGAAAGCCUGAAGCAGCCAUGCCGCGUGAAUGAUGAAGGUCUUAGGAUUGUAAAAUUCUUUCACCGGGGACGAUAAUGACGGUACCCGGAGAAGAAGCCCCGGCUAACUUCGUG
rnacentral:rRNA from 1 species